UACGGAGGGUGCAAGCGUUGUUCGGAAUUAUUGGACGUAAAGAGCGUGUAGGCGGCUGAAUAAGUCAGAUGCGAAAUCCCUGGGCUUAACCUGGGAACUGCGCUUAAUACGGAUAGGCUUGAGUCCGGAAGGGGGUGGCGGAAUUCCCAGUGUAGAGGUGAAAUUCGUAGAUAUUGGGAAGAACACCGGUGGCGAAGGCGGCCACCUGGUCCGGAACUGACGCUGAGACGCGAGAGCGUGGGUAGCAAACAGG
rnacentral:rRNA from 1 species